GCACGAUGGGAAAGAGAGAGUUGGGACCCGCAGGAGGGGGCAGGGCACUGACCCGGUGCCGCCCAGCAGGGCAGCGUCUCCUGGCUCAGACCAGUGCUAGAAGUGUCCAGUCUAGCAGCUCCUGGACCAAGACUCCGUGGCCAUUCCCUUCCUCCUGCCUUCCAUCCACCCCCUUACGAUACAGAAGUUGAGAUACAGAGAGGUGAAGGAACUUGUCCCAGGCCCUACAGCUAAUCAAAAAAAAAAAAAGAGAGAGAGAAAAUUCAUUACCAGUGGACGUUCUGUAAGCAGAAGAAAUAUGAUACCUGAGAGAAACUUGGAUCUACAUAAAGAAAUGAUGAUCUCUGGAAACAGAUAGAAUAAAGGGUCCUGGGUGGCUGAAUCUUAU
rnacentral:lncRNA from 1 species